CCAAACUCUAUACUACCAGGCCAGGAUUUUCAACACUGUAUCACAUACCUUCUUGGUUGCUGGCAUUUUGUGCUUCCUCCCUGAAGUGAUACACAAGAUCUGCCAUGCUCCCUCCUGAUUCAACCACGCUGGUGAACCCAGAAGCCCCAGGAAAAAGCUUGCCAUGGCCACAACUACUGUUUUCUGGGAUAGUGCCUUGUCCCCAAAAGUAACUUGUGUGAAUCAAG